rnacentral:rRNA from 1 species
GGAAUUGACGGAAAGGCACCACCAGGAGUGGAGCCUGCGGCUUAAUUUGACUCAACACGGGAAAUCUCACCAGGCCAGAACACCAGGUGGAUUGACAGAUUGAUAGCUCUUUCUUGAUUUGGUGGGUGGUGGUGCAUGGCCGUUCUUAGUUGGUGGAGCGAUUUGUCUGGUUAAUUCCGAUAACGAACGAGACUCCAGCCUACUAACUAGACGUAUAUUUAUCCAGUAUCUUUGCUACUGGCGGUUUAAUCUCUUCUUAGAGGGACAGGCGGCAUCUAGCCGCACGAGACGGAGCAAUAACAGGUCUGUAAUGCCCUUAGAUGUUCUGGGCCGCACGCGCGCUACACUGAAGGAAUCAACGUGUGAUACACCCUUGGCCGAAAGGUCCGGGUAACCCGUUGAAACUCCUUCGUGCUAGGGAUUGGGGCUUGCAAUUAUUCCCCAUCAACGAGGAAUUCCUAGUAAGUAUGAGUCAUAAGCUCGUAUUGAUUAAGUCCCUGCCUUUUGUGCACACCGCCCGUCGCUACUACCGAUUGAACGAUUUAGUGAGGUCUUCAGACCUGUGCGCGACACUCACUUCGGUGAGUUUCGAUUGUUAUGGGGAAGACGACCA